AACAAAAUCCCAAUACCUAGUUCUUCACAAGUCGUCGCUAGCCAUUUUACCUCUGUCAGAUUAGUAGCAAGAGGGACAAUGCACUACCAUGCUUCCAAUUUGUCCAAUACAGGUAGUGAAGAAAAAAACCAAGUGUCACCACCAAGGACAACCAAUGUGAUUGAAAGGGGAAAUUGCUCGCCCUUGAGAGCUUUUGAGCGAUGAUCAUAUGAAGCGUGGUAAGUGUCGUAAAAGACGGUUAAGAGUGGCUGUAAAAAUCAUAGACAAUGAUGUUUUGAUUAUGGACAAAACUUCUGGUUUCGAUACAGCUGUUGAAGAAGCACAAUGGGCAGUAAAUUCAACAUAUAAUUGAGUCUCGGAUAAUCGGUUACCUGCGGGCCUAAUCCAACUAUGUGGGGUGCCUCUGCCUAAGCCAUGGAGAAGCGGGAAAAUAGUUGUAAUGUCUGCACAACAUUGUAUAAAAUCCGAAUGAAUAGCAUUAGUGAAAUUUUGAACAUUUUCAUGUAAUAUUUGUGAACAUGGAGAAAAUGUAUGCUCUUUCUAACUUUAUAAA